rnacentral:rRNA from 1 species
GACGAACGCUGGCGGCGUGCUUAACACAUGCAAGUCGAGCGGUAAGGCCCUUCGGGGUACACGAGCGGCGAACGGGUGAGUAACACGUGGGUGAUCUGCCUCGUACUUCGGGAUAAGCCUGGGAAACUGGGUCUAAUACCGGAUAUGACCACAGGAUGCAUGUCUUGUGGUGGAAAGAUUUAUCGGUACGAGAUGGGCCCGCGGCCUAUCAGCUUGUUGGUGGGGUAAUGGCCUACCAAGGCGACGACGGGUAGCCGGCCUGAGAGGGCGACCGGCCACACUGGGACUGAGACACGGCCCAGACUCCUACGGGAGGCAGCAGUGGGGAAUAUUGCACAAUGGGCGAAAGCCUGAUGCAGCGACGCCGCGUGAGGGAUGACGGCCUUCGGGUUGUAAACCUCUUUCGACAGGGACGAAGCGCAAGUGACGGUACCUGUAGAAGAAGCACCGGCCAACUACGUG